AUGCCGGAACCCACCCGCCUCCUCGUCACCAAGGACAAGGAAGGCAAAGAGUCGACCAAGCUCAAUCCUCUCCAUCCCAUCUGGGUGAGGGAGGAUCAACAGGUGCUCGGCUACCUCCUCAACAACCUCACCAAAGAAGUGUUGGUCGCGGUGACCACGGUCACCACCACGCACGCCCUCUGGGUGGCGCUCGCAGGCAUGUUUUCCUCUCAAUCUUUGAGCCGUGUAAACAAUAUUCGUACUACCCUGAUCAAUGCACAAAAGGGAAACCAAUCGGUUGCUGCGCACUACGCUCAUAUGCGUGGUCUUGCCGAUGAACUCGCGGCGGCCGACAAGCCCAUCCAAGACGAUGAGCUCAUCUCCUACCUGCUGCACGGGCUGGACAUGGACUACCAGCCCCUCGUCUCCGCCCUCAACGCCCACGUCACUCUGGUCUCCCUCGACGAGCUGCAUGCCAUGCUGAGCAAUUUUGAUUAG
rnacentral:rRNA from 1 species